UGGGGAAUAUUGCACAAUGGGCGCAAGCCUGAUGCAGCCAUGCCGCGUGUAUGAAGAAGGCCUUCGGGUUGUAAAGUACUUUCAGCGGGGAGGAAGGGAGUAAAGUUAAUACCUUUGCUCAUUGACGUUACCCGCAGAAGAAGCACCGGCUAACUCCGUGCCAGCAGCCGCGGUAAUACGGAGGGUGCAAGCGUUAAUCGGAAUUACUGGGCGUAAAGCGCACGCAGGCGGUUUGUUAAGUCAGAUGUGAAAUCCCCGGGCUCAACCUGGGAACCGCAUCUGAUACUGGCAAGCUUGAGUCUCGGAGAGGGGGGGAGAAUUCCAGGUGGAGCGGUGAAAUGCGGAGAGAUCUGGAGGAAUACCGGUGGCGAAGGCGGCCCCCUGGGCGAAGACUUACGCUCAGGUGCGAAAGCGUGGGGAGCAAACAGG
rnacentral:rRNA from 1 species